rnacentral:rRNA from 1 species
GACGUAGGGCGCGAGCGUUGUCCGGAUUCAUUGGGCGUAAAGAGCGUGUAGGCGGCCAGGUAGGUCGGUUGUGAAAACUGGAGGCUCAACCUUCAGAGGUCGACCGAAACCAUCUGGCUAGAGUCCGGAAGAGGAGAGUGGAAUUCCUGGUGUAGCGGUGAAAUGCGCAGAUAUCAGGAAGAACACCUAUGGCGAAGGCAGCUCUCUGGGACGGUACUGACGCUGAGACGCGAAAGCGUGGGGAGCGAACAGG